UACGUAGGGACCAAGCGUUGUUCGGAUUUACUGGGCGUAAAGGGCGCGUAGGCGGCAAUUCAAGUCAUCUGUGAAAUCUCCGGGCUUAACCCGGAACGGUCAGGUGAUACUGUUUUGUUAGAGUGCGGAAGGGGCAAUCGGAAUUCUCGGUGUAGCGGUGAAAUGACGUAGAUAUCAGGAGGAACACCGGUGGCGAAGGCGGGUCUCUGGGCCGAUACUGACGCUGAGGAGCGAAAGCGUGGGGAGCGAACAGG
rnacentral:rRNA from 1 species